GAUGAACGCUGGCGGCGUGCCUAAUACAUGCAAGUCGAGCGAACAGAUGAGGAGCUUGCUCCUCUGACGUUAGCGGCGGACGGGUGAGUAACACGUGGAUAACCUACCUAUAAGACUGGGAUAACUUCGGGAAACCGGAGCUAAUACCGGAUAAUAUAUUGAACCGCAUUGUUCAAUAGUGAAAGACGGUUUUGCUGUCACUUAUCGAUGGAUCCGCGCCGCAUUAGCUAGUUGGUAAGGUAACGGCUUACCAAGGCAACGAUGCGUAGCCGACCGGAGAGGGUGAUCGGCCACACUGGAACUUAGACACGGUCCAGACUCCUACGGGAGGCAGCAGUAGGGAAUCUUCCGCAAUGGGCGAAAGCCUGACGGAGCAACGCCGCGUGAGUGAUGAAGGUCUUCGGAUCGUAAAACUCUGUUAUUAGGGAAGAACAAAUGUGUAAGUAACUAUGCACGUCUUGACGGUACCUAAUCAGAAAGCCACGGCUAACUACGUG
rnacentral:rRNA from 1 species